UGCAAUGUUUGUUGGGGCGGCUGGAUGUCAGUGCCAGCUUUCCACUCUUGUUUCCAGCAAAGCCAAACAGCAGCCUGACCGUGAAUCUGCUUCCAGCUCCUUCCUCCGCUCCCCGCAACACGCUGGCUGCAGCUGCGUGCAUGAGUCCCGGGGCUCUCCCUCCUCGGCCGCUCGCUGCUGUUGCAGAUGCGGUAGGUGAGCAGAUACCUGCCAGGCGAAAGCAGCCCUUGGAGGAGCGCGGCAGGCUUGUGGAGCUCGGGAUGGGAACGUGUUUGCCUGGGGAGGCAGGUGAUACCUGAAAGGGUGCAGCCAAAACUAACAAAGAUUUUGUAAUGUGAGUAGCCUGGGCUGCUGAGGAGCAGCUGACAAUCUCAUGGCCCAGCGAUGGCACGGUGGCGGCACGCUACCGGGGAGAGGACUCUGGUGUGCUCCUGGUGGCAGCCACUGCUCUGGCAGACAGCGUUAGAAACCUUCCAGACCCUGCCUGCAAAGAUGAAGUUUUUCCUGGCCUCACUUUUCAGUACUGCUGCUAUUCUUUCCAUCCUCUGUCUUCAUUGCUUCCACUGUGGGUACAGAGACGUGAGCUUUCAAUACCUGCAAGUUUCCAUCCUGUUUGGUAGCAGUGCUCUGCACAAAAGGGACCAUGAGAAGUUGGAGAUGCUACAGAUGACGCCAAUGUCUGGGAUCUGGGUACCCUCCCUGGAGAACAAGAGGGAUGGGUGAGGUACAUCCACCAGCGCCUGCAGUGGAAGCCGAAGUCACUGCUGUUCCUGUCCUUUGGCAUCACCCAUAACGCUGUCGUCUGGUCUCUGUGCAAGGGAAGGACAGACACUGGUGGCCUACCUCCUUGCGGGGCACUCAAGUUUGAGCGCAUGGACAUCUGUUGGUUUACCUCCAGACCAGAAGGAGCAGUGCCUAUUAUUUCUUCCCGCCAUGGGAGACAUCACGAAGGUCUGCAAACAGCCUUUGCAUAGCCAGAACAUGCAGCAUCUGCAGCAGAGGGGAUCUACCCCUCCGGCGCAGGCAUCAGCCGGACAGCAGCGUGCCUUUGACCGAGGGGAAAGGAACGCAGCAUCUCCUGGUGAGUGAGAAAGCUUGGGUGGUUUGCACAUAGGAAGCUCCUUUAAAUGUGUUUCCUCCCACUGCCUGGCCUUUUGUUUUUCCGCCAUGCUUGAUGCUGGCGUUGGAAAGCUGAACUCCCCAAAAGUGAACUUCCUCUCCUACUAUAAACUGACCCUCGGGGGUUGCUAUAGUGACUGCAGAGCGGCUGGCGAGCUGUGUAAACACUCUCUCCCGCUUCCCAUCACACUGCGCCCGAGAGAGAGAGGCCGAGCCACGGGAUGUGCACGGCAACCUGGAUUAUGCAGGCAGUUGUGAAAUGCAAACCCAACAAUUUCUCUGCUUCCUUCCCGCUUUCCCCGCGGGCAGACAAACGCAGCAGGCUGGUAGCAGGCAUGAACACGCCCGUCUCUGACGAAUUCGGGCACACGGCACCGCACCGCAGAAACCAAACCCAGACACUCACCUGGGGAGCUUGAGCAAGAUGUGGAAAUGUAUGGUGCAACUGGAUCCUCUGCAACAUCUGAUUCCUGUGGCCUCACCUCAAGAGUUAAUUGAGCGUCCAGCUGUGCGGGGGGGAGCAGUUUGGUACACAUACACUCACAGGUCCUUCCAUCUAAUUAAUUCAAACAAUCAACCGAGUGUGAAAUCCAUCGAUUUCUGGGUCUUCUGUUGCUCACUUUG